rnacentral:lncRNA from 1 species
GGAGCUAGCAGAGGGAGAAUCUGUUACUACGUUACCUCAAGAAAGGAACAAAACUGCACUAAAACACAACACAAAGAAAGCAAAUUUUAAUCAGUUGAACCAGAAGAUAAUCGAUGAAAGACUAAACAAAGUUUAAAUGGUAAGCAUAAAAAAAGCUACGCACCUGGGAUGCCGCAAGAGAGAAAAAGAAGAAGAGGCAGAGAGAAAAAUAAGAGGUGUCGCAUGCGAGAAAAGGAAGAGGCCGCAAGAGAAAAUGGAGAAGAGGAAGACGAUAUCAGAAACUGAAUGUCGCGAAGAGUUUGCAGUUGUAUUUAAAAUGAAAUUGGGCAUCGGUUGCUCUAGUCACCGACGUCUAUAUUGACAUAGACGUCGGUUAUCUCACUAAUAUGACGUCCAAG